AUAACAAAAUUACAAAUAUUAGACUUAGAGAGAGAGAGAGAAAGCUAUCUACGAGAGAGGAAGCCGGCAACCUAACGGUGAGCAGCCGGAUUCGGUCACAACCUACUAGACCUCAAGUGAGGAAUCCGAUGCUGGUGACGAUCCCUCACCGUCGCUACAGCUUCGUUUCUCGCCGUCGUCUACACCUAUUCUCCCCACUUAAUUUCAGUCUUUUCCUUGAAACCUAGAGAGAUAUGAACAAGUGGGAGAACGGAAAAAGAAGAGAGACGCAAUUUCUUAGGAUCUUUUCCACGUCGGAUGACGUUUUUUUUGUUUCUUCGAUUAGGUUUUCUGGACUUCUACUUCUUUAGGGUUUAGGCUCAGUUGUUGUUCUUCUUAACCUGGAUUCUGUCUGGUUUGUUUAUUGGGUUAUUUUAUACGAUUCUGGAUUUGUUAUCAUUCAGAAUUAGUGUAGGUUUUUGGCUAUUUGUUUGCUGUUUAAUGGCAUUUUUUUGCUUUUGGUUGAAUGUGGGUGGUCUUCUCUGUUGGUAAGGGCUUAUAGUUAUGGCUUAAUGUUGUUUAGAUUAGGUUUUUAACUUUCUAUUUACAUUUUAGGGUUUACUUGACUUGGUUGAUGAUUAUUAUGAGGUUAAUGCUGUUUCUGAUGAGUGAAAUAAGGGCUUAUAGUUAUGGCUUAAUGUUGUUUAUUUUAAUGUAUUAGCAUAAGAGGUUUUAUCACUCAUACUUUGGGGAAAACCAAACCGAAGCACCUCACGCUUUAAAGUUUAUUGCAAGUGCAAGUGGACCUUCUUUUGUUGUAUUAGAAAGAAUCUAGAAAACAGUUUGAGUUGAAGAAUAUCAAUUUACGGUUGUGGAAUUCGGAGAUCUGAAAAUGGAAACAUGUUUAAACAAAUUCGGGUGGCGCUAUGCUAUUUAUGAAUUAUGACGUUAGUUUUCUGGUUGCUAGGUUGUAGUCUGUCAUACACAUAUUUCAGCCUGUUGCUUUGUUUUUGUUUCAGCCAACAUGCAUGCAUUACAUCUACAAUUGUUUCACUAUAACAAUUUUACUUUCUUAAUAAAUUGACCACGAUUAUGAAAAUGAUAUCUUUUAUCGUGGACCACUUGAAAAAUGCAUUUGAAUAUAUACUAAAACAUGGUGCAUAGAUUUGUAUUUUUGUCAUUUGUGUGUAUCUCAACACAUAUUUUUAUCAUCUGAUAAUUAUAUCUGUUCGUCUUUACUUUUUUUAAAUGCAUAAUUCGUAAAUCGUUAGAUUAGAAUGGUUGCUACUUUAGAAGAAAUCGAAGCAGCAGAAGGCAAAAAGUUAGAACAACAACUGUAUGCUAGAGAAGCUCUUUUGUACCAAGAAUGCCAAAUGGAAAAAGUGGUUGAAGAGUCUAAGAAACUGAAGCUAGUAGCAGAGGGAAAUUCUAAGCUAUGUGACAUUAAGCCCUUUGUUAUGCAUAAAAACCAACUAUUUUAAUUUUCCAGGUUAUGAAUUCUUUUAAUUUGUAUUUUAGUUGCAAGAAAUCCUGACGGAUCGUGGCCAUGUGAUUGAUAUUUUACACUAAGUCUCGGUUAUUCUUAUGAGUAAUAUUUUUUCUUUUUACUCAUUUGACCCUUAAGUGAAUCCUACUAUCGCGACCACUCUUUUCUAGCCAAACAUCAUCAAUCAUAGGCUCCCCAAAUUCAUCUUUCAGGAUCACCACACCACCUUUCGAGUAUGAGACAGAGACACAUAAGACUCCAAAGAAGAGUUCGGAUUCAGAACAUGGUGAUUCUUAUGGGGUUCUUGACAAGAGUUCAAGGCUAGAUGGAUAACCCAAGUCUCCUCAUAUAGAAAGUGGGAAUUCUACCAUUGGUGAAGAAAAAAAGGGUGAUGAUGAACUUAAGGGGCCUUUAGAUGAUGAUGAAUGGGAGCUAUUUAACAAUGGUAACCUUUUGGUUAGAUGAUGAUGGAUUGAACAUAAGAAGAGAGGCGUGUUACUGUUUAUUUGCCUUUUAUGCUAUUAAAAACAAGUAGAUUUUUGAAUUAUGUACUAAAAAAAACAAAAAAAUAAAAUAAAUGUUAUUUUAACCGGUGCUCUUACUAUGAUUUUGUUUGUAUGAAGUUUGCUAUCUUCUAGAACCAGGCCAACCAUAAGGAAACGAGUCUAAAUCCGAGGCCACAAGGAUACAGAAGGCACAGAGAGCACAACUUCCAGUAGCAGUGCAAUAAAAUCUACAAGGCUGAGCCGGGUGGGGUAACGAACCAGGACGGACUUGGGUCAUAAUGGGUCACUUCAAGGGUGACGCACUUGUGCUAGGAACCCAUGUCUGAUUUGCAGCCACUUACGGAUAGACGGCUAAAGUAACCAUAAUAUGUAGGUGUCAAAGUCAAAGAGGGAGCUGUUGGCAUUGGAAGAGCGGAUUGGUAACGUGAACACUUGGUUGACUGAAGAAUACAAUUAUAAACACCUGAAUCAGAAAACGUACGCGAGUGUAUCGGUUGACCUAGAUGCCGAAGAUAGCUGCAUAUGUUAGGUACCCCUAUUGUUUUAUACUUUUUAUUCUCGACGAAAAUGUUAGUUUGGUUCGUUUGGGUGUAAAUUUUGAUGUCUUAUUAGGAAGAAUAGAAUGGGAGCAUUAGAUUGUGUGCAUAAGCUCAUCAAACAAUCGUUGCUUCAGAAGAACGUGUCUCUUGUCUACAAGUAUACGGCUUCAAAAUGAGACUUAAAAUGAGGUUUUUUUUUUAAAGAAAACAAUUACUUCAUCAUGCUGGAUUGGAUCAAGAAAUGUGAAUAAACCUAAGAUGGAGCUGGUAAUGUUUUUCACGCAGAUAGUAUUCUUCAAAUAUGAAGUAUGUUUUUAACUAAAAAUGGGUUUCAAGAAAGCUUUCUAUUUUUGACGUC